rnacentral:rRNA from 1 species
CGGGGUGCAGCAGGCGCGAAAACUUUGCAAUGCGGGAAACCGUGACAAGGGAACUCUGAGUGCCCGUAAAAUCGAGCUGUCCAUCGGUUUAAAUAACCGGUGAAGAAAGGGCCGGGCAAGACCGGUGCCAGCCGCCGCGGUAAUACCGGCGGCUCGAGUGGUGGCCACUAUUACUGGGCUUAAAGCGUUCGUAGCUGGUUUGUUAAGUCUCUGGGGAAAUCUUCCGGCUUAACCGGAAGGCGUCUCAGGGAUACUGGCAGACUAGGGACCGGGAGAGGUGAGAGGUACUCCAGGGGUAGGAGUGAAAUCCUGUAAUCCUUGGGGGACCACCUGUGGCGAAGGCGUCUCACCAGAACGGCUCCGACAGUGAGGGACGAAAGCUGGGGGAGCAAACCGGAUUAGAUACCCGGGUAGUCCCAGCUGUAAACGAUGCGCGUUAGGUGUAUCGGUGACCACGAGUCACCGAGGUGCCGAAGAGAAAUCGUGAAACGUGCCGCCUGGGAAGUACGGUCGCAAGGCUGAAACUUAAAGGAAUUGGCGGGGGAGCAC